GGCGGUAUGGCGCAGAUUGGCAGCGCGCGGGGGUGCGCUCUCGUCCAUUCACCCCGAAGACACGCAACACUUGUUCGAUCCAAGUUGUAGCUA